rnacentral:rRNA from 1 species
GAAGGUGGCCUGUGAGGGUUGCUGGAGGUAUCAGAAGUGCGAAUGCUGACAUAAGUAACGAUAAAGCGGGUGAAAAGCCCGCUCGCCGGAAGACCAAGGGUUCCUGUCCAACGUUAAUCGGGGCAGGGUGAGUCGACCCCUAAGGCGAGGCCGAAAGGCGUAGUCGAUGGGAAACGGGUUAAUAUUCCCGUACUUGGUGUUACUGCGAAGGGGGGACGGAGAAGGCUAUGUUGGCCGGGCGACGGUUGUCCCGGUUUAAGCGUGUAGGYGUGUKUUCCAGGYAAAUCCGGUUCACUUUAACACUGAGGCGUGAYGACGAGGCACUACGGUGCUGAAGCAACAAAUGCCCUGCUUCCAGGAAAAGCCUCUAAGCAUCAGGUAACAUCAAAUCGUACCCCAAACCGACACAGGUGGUCAGGUAGAGAAUACCAAGGCGCUUGAGAGAACUCGGGUGAAGGAACUAGGCAAAAUGGUGCCGUAACUUCGGGAGAAGGCACGCUGACAYGUAGGUGAAGUGAUUUACUCAYGGAGCUGAAGUCAGUCGAAGAUACCAGCUGGCUGCAACUGUUUAUUAAAAACACAGCACUGUGCAAACACGAAAGUGGACGUAUACGGUGUGACGCCUGCCCGGUGCCGGAAGGUUAAUUGAUGGGGUCAGCGCAAGCGAAGCUCCUGAUCGAAGCCCCGGUAAACGGCGGCCGUAACUAUAACGGUCCUAAGGUAGCGAAAUUCCUUGUCGGGUAAGUUCCGACCUGCACGAAUGGCGUAAUGAUGGCCAGGCUGUCUCCACCCGAGACUCAGUGAAAUUGAACUCGCUGUGAAGAUGCAGUGUACCCGCGGCAAGACGGAAAGACCCCGUGAACCUUUACUAUAGCUUGACACUGAACAUUGAGCCUUGAUGUGUAGGAUAGGUGGGAGGCUUUGAAGUGUGGACGCCAGUCUGCAUGGAGCCGACCUUGAAAUACCACCCUUUAAUGUUUGAUGUUCUAACGUGGACCCGUWAYCCGGGUUGCGGACAGUGUCUGGUGGGUAGUUUGACUGGGGCGGUCUCCUCCUAAAGAGUAACGGAGGAGCACGAAGGUUGGCUAAUCCUGGUCGGACAUCAGGAGGUUAGUGCAAUGGCAUAAGCCAGCUUGACUGCGAGCGUGACGGCGCGAGCAGGUGCGAAAGCAGGUCAUAGUGAUCCGGUGGUUCUGAAUGGAAGGGCCAUCGCUCAACGGAUAAAAGGUACUCCGGGGAUAACAGGCUGAUACCGCCCAAGAGUUCAUAUCGACGGCGGUGUUUGGCACCUCGAUGUCGGCUCAUCACAUCCUGGGGCUGAAGUAGGUCCCAAGGGUAUGGCUGUUCGCCAUUUAAAGUGGUACGCGAGCUGGGUUUAGAACGUCGUGAGACAGUUCGGUCCCUAUCUGCCGUGGGCGCUGGAGAACUGAGGGGGGCUGCUCCUAGUACGAGAGGACCGGAGUGGACGCAUCACUGGUGUUCGGGUUGUCAUGCCAAUGGCACUGCCCGGUAGCUAAAUGCGGAAGAGAUAAGUGCUGAAAGCAUCUAAGCACGAAACUUGCCCCGAGAUGAGUUCUCCCUGAGACUU